rnacentral:rRNA from 1 species
UCGGCGGACGGGUGGAGUAACGCGUGGACAACCUGCCUAUGCAGGGGAGUAACAUCCGGAAACGGGUGCUAAUACGCAUAAGCGCACAGUACCGCAUGGUACGGUGUGAAAAGCUGAGGCGGCAUAGGAUGGGUCCGCGUUGGAUUAGGCAGUUGGCGGGGUAACGGCCCACCAAACCGACGAUCCAUAGCCGGCCUGAGAGGGUGGACGGCCACAUUGGGACUGAGACACGGCCCAGACUCCUACGGGAGGCAGCAG